UACGUAGGGGGCUAGCGUUGUCCGGAUUUAUUGGGCGUAAAGAGCUCGUAGGUGGUUCGGUAAGUCGGAUGUGAAAUCUCCGGGCUUAACCCGGAGCGGCCAAGUGAUACUGUUGUGCUAGAGUGCGGAAGGGGCUACUGGAAUUCUCGGUGUAGCGGUGAAAUGCGUAGAUAUCGAGAGGAACACCUGCGGCGAAGGCGGGUUGCUGGGCUGACACUGACGCUGAUGCGCGAAAGCUAGGGGAGCGAACGGG
rnacentral:rRNA from 1 species